rnacentral:rRNA from 1 species
CAGUCGCCGCGGUAAAACGAAGGGUGCAAGCGUUAAUCGGAAUUACUGGGCGUAAAGCGCGCGUAGGUGGUUCAUUAAGUUGGAUGUGAAAGCCCUGGGCUCAACCUGGGAACUGCAUCCAAAACUGGUGAGCUAGAGUACGGUAGAGGGUAGUGGAAUUUCCUGUGUAGCGGUGAAAUGCGUAGAUAUAGGAAGGAACACCAGUGGCGAAGGCGACUACCUGGACUGAUACUGACACUGAGGUGCGAAAGCGUGGGGAGCAAACAGGAUUAGAUACCCGAGUAGUCCCUGUCUCUUAUAA